UUAAUUCAAAUUUGUAUCGAGUCGGAACUUCCCUUCGUUGGCCGAUAGAGGCCCUGUUCCAACUCCAUACAAAUUUGAGUUA
rnacentral:pre_miRNA from 1 species